rnacentral:tRNA from 1 species
GGGCAGGUGAUCCGAUUGGUAAUGGUGGUUCUCUGUAAAAGAAUUGGUUAAUCCCAUAAAAGGUUCGAUUCCUUUACUGCUCA